UGAGUCUAGUCUGCCGGAAAUUGACAGUAGAAGAAGAAAAAGCAAAUGGCGGAACUGGACGUUGGCGAGCAUUGUCAGCAUGAGUCUUGUCACCAGAAAGACUUUCUGCCAUUUGUUUGCGAUUCCUGCAGUGGAGUUUACUGCCUUCAACACAGAAGCAGAGAAGCCCAUUCAUGUUCAGAGGAGCCUGUGAAAAGAGAAGCGUCUACUGGAAGCGUCGUCAUAAACCAUCCCUGCUCUUUUGAAGAGUGUAAAGAGAAACAACUACUUCCUGUCAUCUGCCCGCAGUGUGAAAAACACUUCUGCCUGGCCCACCGUCAUCAAGAUGAUCACAAGUGUGAGAAGUUGGAGAUCCAAAAGCCUCGAAUGGCAGCCACCAAAGAGCUUGUGCAAAGGAUUGUGGAGUCAAAGGAUGGAUCCAAAAGCAAAGGACGUAAAGGAGCAAAGAACAGUGCCACGGCUGCCAAGGUAGCGUUGAUGAAACUGAAGCUGCACGCUGUAGGAGACAAGGGGUUGCCGCAGACAGAAAGAACCUAUUUUCAAGUGUAUCUACCUAAAGAGUCUGAAGUCAGCAGUCAGCCUAUGUUCUUCUGCUCCAAAUGGAGCGUUGGGAAGGUGGUGGAUUACGCGGCCUCGCUCGCUUCCCUAAAGAACAACAACAACGUCCUCGCAGCUAAGGUAAGGCUCUGCGCCAGGAUGACAGCCUGCACUCCCUGCUGACCAGCCCACAAGACCCCCUGCACAAUGGGGGCAACGUGAUCCUGGAGUACCUGGACAAUGACAGCUCUGGCCUGGAGGACGUUUGUCAAUACAUUACCGCUGGCUGAACUCCUAAAAUAGAACUGCAAUGAAGCUGCUGGAAAACUCCAGUUUUGAAGCCCUCAGCUCGCGUCUGUGUGCAGAAACAGGAGAGUCUCGCAUUAUUGG